UGAGAUAGAGAUUAGUGGUAGAGCACUUGCCUAGCAUGUGCAAGGCCCUGGGUUCAAUCCCCAGUACCACAA
rnacentral:tRNA from 1 species